rfam:Triticum aestivum genome assembly, contig: Triticum_aestivum_CS42_TGACv1_scaffold_129453_2BL
ACCAUACUCCCUCCGUCCUGAAAUUCUUCUCUUAGAUUUGUCUAAAUACGGAUGUAUCUAGUUAUGUUUUAGUGUUAGAUACAUCUGUAUCUAAACAAAUUUAAGACAAGAAUUUCGGGAUGGAGGGAGUAUUUG